UUGAGUUUGAUCCUGGCUCAGAUUGAACGCUGGCGGCAGGCCUAACACAUGCAAGUCGAGCGGAAACGAUGGAAGCUUGCUUCCAGGCGUCGAGCGGCGGACGGGUGAGUAAGCAUGGGAAUCUGCCCGAUAGUGGGGGAUAACCUGGGGAAACCCAGGCUAAUACCGCAUACGUCCUACGGGAGAAAGCAGGGGAUCUUCGGACCUUGCGCUAUCGGAUGAGCCCAUGUCGGAUUAGCUUGUUGGUGAGGUAAUGGCUCACCAAGGCGACGAUCCGUAGCUGGUCUGAGAGGAUGAUCAGCCACAUCGGGACUGAGACACGGCCCGAACUCCUACGGGAGGCAGCAGUGGGGAAUAUUGGACAAUGGGCGAAAGCCUGAUCCAGCCAUGCCGCGUGUGUGAAGAAGGCCCUCGGGUUGUAAAGCACUUUCAGUGGGGAAGAAAGCCUUGGGAUUAAUACUCCCGAGGAAGGACAUCACCCACAGAAGAAGCACCGUGCUAACUCCGUGCCAGCAGCCGCG
rnacentral:rRNA from 1 species